rnacentral:rRNA from 1 species
UGCAGUCGAGCGGAACGAGUUAUCAGAACCUUCGGGGGACGAUAACGGCGUCGAGCGGCGGACGGGUGAGUAAUGCCUAGGAAAUUGCCCUGAUGUGGGGGAUAACCAUUGGAAACGAUGGCUAAUACCGCAUGAUGCCUACGGGCCAAAGAGGGGGACCUUCGGGCCUCUCGCGUCAGGAUAUGCCUAGGUGGGAUUAGCUAGUUGGUGAGGUAAGGGCUCACCAAGGCGACGAUCCCUAGCUGGUCUGAGAGGAUGAUCAGCCACACUGGAACUGAGACACGGUCCAGACUCCUACGGGAGGCAGCAGUGGGGAAUAUUGCACAAUGGGCGCAAGCCUGAUGCAGCCAUGCCGCGUGUGUGAAGAAGGCCUUCGGGUUGUAAAGCACUUUCAGUCGUGAGGAAGGUAGUGUAGUUAAUAGCUGCAUUAUUUGACGUUAGCGACAGAAGAAGCACCGGCUAACUCCGUGCCAGCAGCCGCGGUAAUACGGAGGGUGCGAGCGUUAAUCGGAAUUACUGGGCGUAAAGCGCAUGCAGGUGGUUUGUUAAGUCAGAUGUGAAAGCCCGGGGCUCAACCUCGGAAUUGCAUUUGAAACUGGCAGACUAGAGUACUGUAGAGGGGGGUAGAAUUUCAG